UAUUCCGGCUGCGACACGAGCGGCGGAGGCGCAGCCAUGGUGGGGAACCAGAUGCGCCACCCCACCCCCGGCCCGGAUCAUCUCGGCGUCGCCAUCAUCGCUUUUUCUUUGAAGGAGCUGGCGAGCUGCUUAUAUUGAGAGCAAUUGUCACAAGAUUCAGCGCUGGGACUCGUUGCUUGCCGUCGUCGCCUUCGGCGUCUACCUCGUCGGCGAGGCCGCGUACAACCGCCUCCACGGCUCCACCGCCCAGCGAGCUUCCUCCGUUGUUUUGCAGGUCUUGAUGCACACUGCAGCUGAACUCGAUACAUGAUAGUAUAUCUCUACACACCACACCUGAAAACAAAAGACCGAACAGUGCAAGACUUAUUCUUGAUCAGUUGUUGAUCGAGCGGUAGCUGCAACUACUGAAUUGAUCUGCCUGCACAAUAGAGCUAAUCCAGAUGAGCAAAUCAAGCAGCUGAUAAUGCACUGUUUAACCAACUUACUAAUUAGCCAAUUCACAAGAGGCAAGCUCUGAACAAAAAGCACAUAACUGUUGCAGCUGUGGCUAGAGUUAUUAGCUGAUACGGAAACAUAGAGCUGCUAGCUACUGGAACAAUACAACUACAACAUGAUGGCCUAACAAAGCAAUAGAUGAUUAAAUUAACAGUGCAAGGAAAAAAGCUACAGGCCACACAUGGGGUUAAACAAAAAAUCGGACAACUUCUAGGCAAGACCGCAAGACAACUCGAGUAACAGAUCACUGUGGCAAUGGAAUAAAUAAUAGCUCAUGCAGUUAAGUACCUCAAUAUGUCUGAACAAACCUGAUAAGCUGAGUUGAUUCAAAAGCUACUGUUGCUGGAUGACCUGCAAAAAUAAGUUAAGUAAUACCUGCACUUGUCCCUACUGAUUACCCGCAUGAGUUGCUAAUAAUCGAGUAAAAGAAAGCUGAUGCGCAUAGCAGUGAAAAUUUAGUUGCAUGGAUUGGGUUGCCUAAUGUUCCUUGUUUAUUUGCCUAAUGGAGAACAUUAAUUUGUCGAUAAUAAACCACGUUAUUGCCUAAAAUACGAACACAUAAAAACAAACUCAAUGAAAAAGAAGAUCACAUAAGCACCCCGCAUUGGAUGAUGGAGGGCGCCCUUGUUGCUGCUUCUAGCCCCUUGGCACUAUAACAAGUCAUCCAAAAAUGGACUGCACAGAGGUCAAUAGGGAUAACUGUUGUGUGUUAUGUGCUGAAAGUGCCCUUGCGCUAUAGGUUUGGAAGGCAAUAGUAACUACUGUGUGUCAACUACUGCAUAAACAGCAAAAAACUAUCAUCAUGCUACAACUAAAAAUCAGUAAAAUGGAUCAUGCUGUCAUUAGAAUACUGAAAUCAGUAAAAGCUGCUGUCAGUAAAAAUGGGAUCAUUGCUAUCAGUGCAUACAGGAAAAAACAGCAAAUACUACCAUCUUAUCUUAGCAAGAGAUAAUUGCACCAAAAAGAAUCAAUGUUACCCUAAAAAGAGACAUGUGAAUACUUUAAGGAACUAGAACAGGAAGAUUCUGAAUUUUUCCGCAAGAUUAAACUUGAUGCUGAACAGAAGGUUGAGGGCCUCUUUCCCUGGUAAAAUUGCCUAAUGAUACUUUAUAUUUUGCCUAAUGAAAUAUAGAAAUUUGCCAAUAUAAAACCAUGUUAUUGCCUAGGGAGAUUUUAGUACUGAGUGGGAACCAAGAGUGCUUAAAAAAGCAUGAAUGCUGCAUUUAUAUAACUAUUUUAUUUACAAACAGAUUCAUACAACUAAAAAAGUGAUGAAAAAAGAACACAUAUAAGGUGUACUUAACGAGAGACUGACUGGUGCUUAAAGAUGAGGUGUUCGUUAUGGUACAGAUUUGUAGAAGAAAAAACUACUGCAUGGAGAAUGUACCACCUCCCCCAUCACAACCAGAAAAAAAAUCCUACUACCCACUAAUUCCGAACUAGCAUAGAGCUCAGCCAUUUCUAUUUGAGCUAUGUGUAAAAACUACUAACAGUAAACUAUCAUCAGUAAACUGGUAGCAUAGAGCUAGAAUCAGUCAUCAGUUAUAACCCUUCUAAGGCUAGAUUCUACCAAUCAGUAAACUGCAAACAUUCAUAAAAAGCAGGAGCAUCACUCAAAGACAAGCUAACGGAAAGAAAACACAGUGAACAACUAGUUUUUCCGUCCAGUUUAUCAUACCGGGAGUGGAUCGGAGGUAGGCUUCAAUGGGCCGGAUGGUAUUAUCACUGCAUUUCAGCUCUGGGGUCCGGUGAACCAAGUUGUUGACGAUGUUGGCGGCCGCUUGCCAAACAAGUUCCCAACUCAGGGAGACCCUAUUGCAAGUGGUAUUUGUUUAGAUUCAGGUCAAGGGGGUCACAUAAUACAUUGAUCCGAGGAACAAGAAUAUGAAAUGCAAACUGAAAAAUGCAAACCUGUGACAGGCGAAGAAAACAAAUGAGAUACUGUGUAUGCAUCUGAGUUGUUACUUCGUGUGGAGCGUGGUGAGCAUGAUGUAGUGGAUCCUGAGGAAGCCAUGGCUGACGGUCGCAGAAGUAGGCUGCGAGCGUGUCGCCUUGCUCAGUGCCAGCGAGGAUGCCGGCCAGGUCCAUGUGGACGACGUGGGAAGCGGUGCAGGAACUUGGCCUCAACGCUCAUCAGGCGCCCGUCGUUGUCGGGCGGCAGGAAGCGCGGCAGGUAGCCGAUGGCGUCGUGCUAUUGGCCUCGGGCGACUAGGUCCCUCAGGCGCACCACGGAGGUGGCGGUGCCCAUCUCGCCGGCCAUCCUACAAGUGCUGGAUCGGCGAUCGACAACGAACCUGUUAGCAGAUUGCAAUGAUGUAAUGGCAACUGCACAUCCACCAAUCCAAAACUAACUAAUGACAUGUAAGGAGUGCCCUUCGGAGUACUAAAGGACCCCUCGUUGGAAGAUGAAAGUUUGAACUAGCACUGUUAGACAGAUUCAACAAACAGUGCAUCAUGAAAAUUGGCAACCAAGCUUCGACAAGCUUACCAAAUCUACCGCAGGUUCUGGAGACUAAACCCCCAAAUCCAGCAGGCAAUGUAACCAUGGAAGGGUGGCAACUGUCAAUGGAGGAAAAUGAAGAAGUAACAAGCAGCAAAUCGGAACCAACCCACCUCGGGAGAUCGCAGCGCGCCGGAUGCCAGCACCACUUGGUGUAAGACGCGUUGGGGCAGCCAUUCUCGGAGCAGCAGGAGCCGACGUCGAGGAAGGGGCAGUCCCUGGAGUCGUAGAGCGGGUCUCCGCCAUCAGGCCGCACCCACUCCCCGUCGAACAGGUCGCACUCGUCCUCAUUGCCCGCCGCCGCUAACUUCCUUCUCGUUCGAGCCGCCUCGGCCGCGAUGGAGACCACGCCGGCCCAGAGCCUCCAGGGCGCAGCCGCCAACGCGUCGGCCGAGCAGCGGAGUGAGACGGUGCAGAGCAACGGCCGCCACGGCGAGCCUCGCCAGGCCGGCCCUCUCGAGCGGGCCCUUGGCCGCCCACCGCGCCAGCACACGGGAUCCCACGGCGGGGAGGGGGACGCACGCACCUGGUGCUUCGGGUCCUGGUCUUGCCCUCUUCGCCCGUCCCCAUCGCACCGCGCAGGCACCACCUCCACCACCUAUUCAAGGUCGCCACACCUUGUCCUGAUCCGCGCUUCCACAUCUCGCCCCCUGAUAGCCACCAGCCGACGGGGAAGCCCCCUAGAGCCGGGAUGCGCAGAUCCGCACCCAGGGACGAUGGAUCCGGCCCCCCGCGACCACGGCCGAUGGUGGGAUGGCCGCAGCCCGGCAAGCCAACGCAUCCCAACAGGAAGCACGCGCGGCUAGGGGGUGGGGGUGGGGCGGCGAAGCCGACCACGACUCGGGAGCGUGCGGAUUAGGCGGGGGAGGAGCGUCCGGUGACCUGACGAAGACCGUCACCACGACCGGCGACGAGCUAGAAUCCAUGGCGACCUAGGGUUUGUGGGGUAGAGUGGGAGGUAGAGAGGUAGGGGAGAGAUGGGGAGAGAUGUGAAGAGAGAGGGGAGGAGGGGGUGGCUGGCCAGCGGCGGCGGCCCGCUGCGGCGGCGGCGGUCCGCGGCGGCCGGAGCUGGACGAGAAAUGGGGGCGGCAGGAGGAUGGAGGGGCGAGUGGAAAAUUUAGAGAGAGGGGUGUCGAAAUCAACCGACAGAAGGGUGGAGAGGAGCAGCAGAAAUGAAUCGGCACGAUGCCGGAGGUGCGCCCUCUAAUUAAUGAUGGUCGACGGAAAUGAAUCGGCACGAUGCCGGAGGUGCGCCCUCUAAUUAAUGAUGGUCGACGGAUCGAGCUGGUCGUUUCGUUGAACAAACUUACGGCCGACUGGAAAGAAGUUAUUACCCAUGUUUAAAAUAUCUUAGAUGAUGAAGUGAGUCAUACAUAAGAUAUAUGAAACUUACAAAAAUAAGAUGAACGGUCAAAUUCAUGAUAAAAAAAAUCAACAGUGACAAAUGUUUAGAUACGGAGGGAGUGCUAUUUAGUGCCAGCCCUUUUGCAUCAGAGUGGUCCAGAAUUGUGGAGACUAUUACAAAGUCAACGGUAUGAUAGCGAAUGUUGUAAUUUAGCUCAAGAGAUUUCAUCCAUGCCUAAAUAAUCAAUUUAGUACAAUAUGUAGCUUAAAUGGUGGAAGACCUGACAGUGUCGCAAGCUGAGAAUCCUGUGCGUCAAACGGAACAGACCCGACGCAGUGUGCGGGACUCUAGUGUAAUAUUCUCAAAUAUGAAAUGGAAUUUCAUCUACUCU